UACAGAGGGUGCGAGCGUUAAUCGGAAUUACUGGGCGUAAAGCGCGCGUAGGCGGCUUUGCAAGUCGGGUGUGAAAUCCCCAGGCUUAACCUGGGAACUGCAUUCGAGACUGCAUUGCUAGAGUAUGGGAGAGGGAAGUGGAAUUUCCGGUGUAGCGGUGAAAUGCGUAGAUAUCGGAAGGAACACCAGUGGCGAAGGCGGUUGCCUGGGGCUUUGCUGACGCUGAUGCGCGAAAGCGUGGGGAGCGAUCCGG
rnacentral:rRNA from 1 species